AUUAAAUUAAAAUUAAUUUUCUUUUUAAUGUAAAUAAAAUACUUUUACAAGCUCUAAUUUGCAAUCUAAAUACACUUUCCAGUACAUUUACUUUGUUACGACUUAUCUCACUUUAAAUGAGAGCGACGGGCAAUAUGUACAUAUUUUAGAGCUAAAAUCAUUUAACCAAUAUAAAUUAAAUUACAUUCAAAUCCAAUUUCAAACUAAUUUAAAACUAAUUAUCCAUAAAUAAAUUUAUUGUAACCCAUUUCUUCUUAUUUAUAAACUACACCUUGAUCUGAUUUAUUUUCUUAUUAAAAAUUAUGAAUAUUAUAAUUCUAUUAAAAUAUUCAAUUACGACGAUAUAUAAAUUUUUAAAAUAAGUAUUUCUAAUCGUGGAUUUUCAAUUAUAGAACAGGUUCCUCUGAAAAGAUUAAAAUACCGCCAAAAUUUUUAAUUUUAAAGAACAUAACUAUUAAUAAUUCAAUAUCAUUAAUUUUACAUUUUAAUAAUAGGGUAUCUAAUCCUAGUCUAUAAAAAAAUUUAAUAACUUCAAAAUCUAAAUAAUAAUUUAAUUAAUAACUUAAAAUUUCACCUAAUAAAUUAUAUUAUAAAUUAACUAAACUCAUUUAAUUAUUUAUUAAUAAAAAUAAAUUAUAUUAUUUGUAUAACCGCAACUGCUGGCACAAAUUAUGUUAAUAUUAUUAUAAAUAUCUAAAUCAUAAUUUCUUAUAUUUUUAAAAUUAAAUACUGCAAAUAAAAAAAAAUUAUUAUUAUUUAAAAAAUAAUUUUUAAACACAUAAAUUUACAUAAAAAAAAUUAAUUUAUAAAUCUAUUUAAAAAACGUAAAUAAAAUAUCUAUAAAUUAAUAUAAAAAAUUUAGCACAUAUAUAUAAACUAAAUCCUUUUUUUUAAUUAAACCAAAAUAAAAUUUACAUUAAUUAUAAAAAAAUAUUUAAAAAACAUAUUUUUAAAAUAAAAAUUACAAAACUUAAUAAAUUUUAUAAACUUAACCCCUUAAAUUUUUUAAUUAAAAAAUAAAACCCCAUUAAUUCAUUAAAUUAAAGCCCCUAUAAAAACUUAAUUAAUCUAAUCCUUAUUUUAUAAUAGUAACUUUACUAUUAACCCCUUUUUUUUUAACUUAAAAAUAAUUAUUACUAAUUAUAUAUAUAUAUAUAUAUUAUAAAUCCAAUAAAUUUAAUUAAAAUAAAAAAUUAAACAAAAUUUUAUAUUUUUAAUAUUUUUUUUUAAUUUUAAAAAAAUCGAAAAAUAACCCCUAAAUUAACCCCUAAAUUAACCCGAUUUUUUUUAAAAAAAAUCAAUUUUUUUUAAUAUAAUUAAUCCAUCAUUUUUUGAAUUUACAAAAUUUAAAAAUUUUUGUUUUUAAAAAAUUAUUGAAUUAAAACUAAGAAAAUUAAUAUUGAUUUUUUAUUAUUUAAUUUUUUCUAUACUAAUAAAAUUUAACUUAUUAAAUUAAACAAUAUAUAAAAAUUAAAAAAAUAUUUAUUUUUAAAAAAUAUUUUUUUUUUUAAUAUUUUACUUUUAUAUUAAUAAAUUAUAUCCAAUAUUAAAAAAUUAAAUACAAUAAUUUCAAUAUUUAUUUCUUAAAAAUAAAAAAAUUUAAAAUUUAUACAUUCCUUAUAAUUUACUAUUAAAUAAAAAUUAAUUAAUAAUUUAUCAAUCUAUAAUAAAAGAAAGUUUUUUUUUUUUUCAAAAAAAAAUUAUGAAAUUUUUAUAUUCAUUUAAAUUAAUUAUUAAUAUUACUAAAUUUUUUAGUUUUAAAUUAAAUUUUUGUCAAUAAAUAUUUAAUUUAUUUUUAAUUUAUAAGAUCUUAUUAUUAUUUGAUUAUUAUAUUAUUUUAUUAAUAUAUUAAAUAUUUAUAUAUAUAUAUAUAUUUAUAUUAAUUAUACAUAUAUAUUAUAAUAUAUAUAUAUAUAAAUUUAUUAUAUAUAUAUAUAAUAUAAUAUUACUAAUAUAAUUAAAUUUUUAAAUAUUUACUUUAUUUUUUUUUUUUUCUAAAUUCAUAGAAUAACUUUAUUUUAUUAAAUUUGAUUUGAUCUAUUUUCAAUAUAAUACUCUAUUAGUGAUAUAUAAAUCAUUAUUAAUUAAUUAUAUUAUAGAAUUAUAAAUAAUAUCAAUAUAUAAUAAGUUAAUUUUUAUAGGCUAAAAGUUGUGUGUCGGAAAAAUUUUCUAUUUUUAACUAAAUUUACUUAAUAAUUCUACUAUUUAAUAAAAUUUUAGUAACUAAAUUUUCCUAAAUUUUACGUUUUUUUUUUCAAAAAAAAUAACUUUUUUUUUUUAAGUAAAUUUAGCCUUUUUUAGUAGUAAUUUUAUCAUAAUUUUUUUAUACAUGGUUGGAAAAAUAAAUUUUUAAGUUAAUAUUUAAAUUAUAUUUUUAAACAAGAUGCCUGAUUAAAAGGAUUAUUUUGAUAGAAUAAAUUAUGUAAUAAUUAUUACUCUUGUUAUAUUUAAUAGAAUUAAACUAUUUCUUUUAAAAUCAAAAUUUAAUGUACAUCUUAUACUAAAAUAUAAAAAAGAUAAGCUAAUUAAGCUACUGGGCUCAUACCUCAUUUAUAAAGGUCUUAAUCCUUUUCUUUUUAAUUUUUUAUCACUAUAAAUUAUUUUUUUUAAUAAUUUUAAUACUUGGUAGAUUAAUUUCAAUUUCAUCAAAUUCAUGAAUAGGAAUAUGAAUAGGAUUAGAAAUUAAUCUCUUAGCUUUUAUUCCUCUAAUUCAAGAAAAAAACAAUUCUCUAUCUAAUGAAAGAUCUCUUAAAUAUUUUCUAUCACAAGCUUUAGCUUCAAUAAUUCUAUUAAUAUCUCUAAUUUUCCUUUCUAAAUAUUAUUUAAUUCUUAAAAAUAUUGAUAAUUAUAUAAUUCUUAUAUUUAAUUCAGCAUUACUUAUAAAAAUAGGAAUAGCCCCUUUCCAUUUUUGAUUUCCAGAAGUAAUUGAAGGAUUAAACUGAAUUAAUAGAUUAAUUUUAUUAACAUGACAAAAAAUUACCCCUAUAGUCCUUGUUAUAUAUAAUUUAAAUUAUCAAUAUUUUUUUGUUGUUAUUAUUAUUACAAGAAUAAUAAUUAGAGCAAUUAUAGGAAUUAACCAAAUUAGAUUACGAAAAAUUCUAGCUUAUUCAUCAAUUAAUCAUAUAGCAUGAAUAAUUAGAGCAAUAUUUAUUUCCGAAUCAAUUUGAUUAUACUAUUUAAUAAUUUAUUUUUUAUUAACUUUUAAUAUUUGAUUUUUUUUUAUAAAGUUAAAUCUAUUUUAUAUUAAUCAAAUAAUUUCAACCCUAAAAAAAAAUUAUUUUUUAAAAAUAAUUUUUUCAUUUAAUUUUUUAUCUUUAGGAGGAUUACCCCCAUUUAUUGGAUUUUUUCCAAAAUGAAUUACUAUUCAAUAUAUAUUAACUAGAUGAACUAUUCUUGCUUUAUUUAUAGUACUAUGUACUCUUUUAACUUUAUUUUAUUAUAUACGUUUAAUUUAUAGAAUUAUAAUUAUUAAUCAUCAUAAUUUAAAUUAUUCAAUAAAUUUAAAUUAUAAUAAUCUUUUUAUAAUUUUUAUUAAUUUAUUAACGCUAUUUAGAUUAAUAUUAUUUACCAUAAUAUUAUUUUUUAACUAAAUCAAGGAUUUAAGUUAAAAAAAAACUAGUAGCCUUCAAAGCUUCAAAUAAGGAUAAUUUUCUUAAGCCUUAGAAUAUUAUUCACCUCUAAAUUUGCAAUUUAAUAUCAUAUUUUGAAUAUAAGACUUGGUAAAAGAAUUAAUCAUUCGUAAAUAAAUUUACAAUUUAUUGCUUAUUCCUCAGCCAUUUUACCGAAUAAAUGAUUAUUUUCAACAAACCAUAAAGACAUUGGUACUUUAUAUUUUAUUUUUGGCUCUUGAGCAGGAAUAGUCGGAACAUCAUUAAGACUUCUUAUUCGAGCUGAAUUAGGAAACCCUGGAUCAUUAAUUGGUAAUGACCAAAUUUAUAACGUAAUUGUUACAGCCCAUGCCUUUGUUAUAAUUUUUUUUAUAGUUAUACCAAUUUUAAUUGGAGGAUUUGGAAAUUGACUUGUUCCCUUAAUAUUAGGGGCUCCUGAUAUAGCAUUCCCUCGAAUAAAUAAUAUAAGAUUUUGAUUACUUCCCCCAUCUCUUACACUUUUAUUAAUAAGGAGAAUAGUUGAAAGAGGUGCUGGUACAGGAUGAACUGUUUAUCCUCCCCUAUCAUCAAAUAUUGCUCAUGGAGGAUCAUCUGUUGAUUUAGCAAUUUUUAGACUUCAUCUAGCAGGAAUUUCAUCAAUUUUAGGGGCAGUAAAUUUUAUUUCUACAGUAAUUAAUAUACGAUCAAGAGGAAUAUCCUUUGAUAAAAUACCUUUAUUUGUAUGAGCUGUUGUAUUAACAGCUUUAUUAUUACUUCUUUCCUUACCUGUAUUAGCAGGAGCUAUUACAAUACUAUUAACAGAUCGAAAUUUAAACACAUCAUUUUUUGAUCCCGCUGGUGGUGGAGACCCUAUUUUAUACCAACAUUUAUUCUGAUUUUUUGGUCAUCCUGAAGUAUAUAUUUUAAUUCUCCCAGGAUUUGGAAUAAUUUCACAUAUUAUUAGACAAGAAAGAGGUAAAAAGGAAACAUUUGGUACUCUAGGGAUAAUCUACGCAAUAAUAGCAAUUGGAUUAUUAGGAUUUGUAGUAUGAGCCCAUCAUAUAUUUACUGUAGGAAUAGAUGUUGAUACACGAGCUUAUUUUACUUCAGCUACUAUAAUUAUUGCAGUUCCUACAGGAAUUAAAAUUUUUAGAUGAUUAGCUACUCUUCAUGGAACACAAAUUAAUUACUCUCCAGCUAUACUUUGAGCAUUAGGAUUUGUAUUUUUAUUUACUGUAGGGGGAUUAACUGGAGUAAUUUUAGCUAAUUCAUCUAUUGAUAUUAUUUUACAUGAUACUUACUAUGUAGUAGCUCAUUUUCACUAUGUUUUAUCAAUAGGAGCUGUAUUUGCCAUUAUAGCAGGUUUUAUUCAAUGAUACCCUUUAUUUACAGGAUUAACAUUAAAUAAUAAAUUAUUAAAAAUUCAAUUUUUAACAAUAUUUAUUGGUGUUAACAUUACUUUUUUCCCUCAACAUUUUUUAGGAUUAGCAGGAAUACCUCGACGGUAUUCUGAUUACCCAGAUGCCUACAUAACAUGAAAUAUAAUUUCAUCGAUUGGAAGAUUAAUUUCAAUAAUUAGUAUUAUUUUUUUCAUUUUUAUCAUUUGAGAAAGAUUUUUAAUAAUACGAAAAAGAAUUAUUUCACUAAAUCUAUCUUCUUCCAUUGAAUGACUUCAAUCUAUACCUCCAGCUGAACAUAGCUAUUCUGAAUUACCUAUAUUAUCAAAUUUCUAAUAUGGCAGAUUAGUGCAUUGGAUUUAAGCCCCAAUUAUAAAGUUUAUACUUUUUUUAGAAAAUGGCAACAUGAAAAACAUUAACUACUCAAGAUAGAGCCUCUCCUUUAAUAGAACAAUUAUUAUUCUUCCAUGACCAUACACUAAUAAUUUUAUUAAUAAUUACUAUUCUUGUUGGUUACAUUAUAACAAGAUUAUUUUUUAAUAAAUUUAAUUAUCGACACUUAUUAGAAGGACAAAUAAUUGAAAUAAUUUGAACUAUUCUUCCAGCUAUUACUUUAAUUUUUAUUGCUCUUCCAUCCUUACGGUUAUUAUAUUUAUUAGAUGAAAUCAAUAACCCUUUAAUUACUAUUAAAACAAUUGGCCAUCAAUGAUAUUGAUCUUAUGAAUAUACAGAUUUUAAAAAUCUUGAAUUUGAUUCAUUUAUAAUUCCAACAAAUGAAUUAAACUCUUUUAAUUUUCGAUUACUUGAUGUAGAUAAUCGAAUUGCAAUUCCUUACCAAUCACAAAUCCGUAUAUUAAUUUCAGCUGCUGACGUAUUACAUUCAUGAACAAUUCCAGCUCUUAGAGUAAAAAUUGACGCAACCCCAGGCCGAUUAAAUCAAAUUAAUUUUUUUAUUAAUCGAACAGGAAUUUUCUUUGGUCAAUGUUCAGAAAUUUGUGGAGCAAAUCAUAGAUUUAUACCAAUUGUACUAGAAAGAAUUUCUCCCAAAUUUUUUAUUAAAUGAAUUAAUAAAAUAAGAGAAAUCUACAUUAGAUGGCUGAAAGUAAGCAAUGGUCUCUUAAACCAUCCUAUAGUAAACUAGCACCUACUUCUAGUGGCCUAAAAAUUUAGUUAAAAUUAUAACAUUAGUUUGUCAGACUAAAAUUAUUAAGAAUAUUGAUAAUUUUUAAUUCCACAAAUAGCACCUAUAAAUUGACUAUCCUUAUUUAUUAUAUUUACAAUUACAUUUCUAAUUUUUAAUAGAAUAAAUUUCUUCUCUUUUUUUUAUAAUUAUAAGUUAAGAAAAUUUAAUAAAAUAACUAAAAGAAUUAAUUGAAAAUGAUAACAAAUCUUUUUAGUUCUUUUGAUCCUUCAACUAACCUAUUUGCUCUUAAUUGAUUAAGAACUUUUCUUGGGAUAUUAUUUAUUCCUUCUAUAUAUUGAUUAAUUCCUUCACGAUGAAAUUAUUUAUGAAUCUCUAUAAUUAUAACACUUCAUAAUGAAUUUAAAGUUUUAUUAGGAAAUAAAAUUAAAGGAAGAACAUUAAUCUUUAUUUCAUUAUUUUCAUUAAUUUUAUUUAAUAAUUUUUUAGGUUUAUUCCCUUAUAUUUUUACUAGAUCAAGACAUUUAAUUAUAACAUUAGCCUUAGCUUUACCUUUAUGGUUAAGAUUUAUAAUCUAUGGAUGAUUAAAUAAUACAAUUCAUAUAUUUGCUCACCUAGUUCCUCAAGGAACCCCUCCUGUACUAAUACCUUUUAUAGUUUUAAUUGAAACAAUUAGAAAUAUUAUUCGUCCUGGAACUUUAGCUGUUCGAUUAGCUGCCAAUAUAAUUGCAGGUCAUUUACUUCUUACACUUUUAGGAAAUACAGGACCCUCAAUAAAUUUACUAAUAAUUAAUAUCUUAAUUAUUACACAACUACUACUUCUAGUUCUUGAAAGAGCUGUAUCAAUUAUUCAAUCUUAUGUAUUUGCAGUUUUAAGAACACUAUAUUCUAGAGAAGUUAACUAAUGCAUUCACAUAAAAACCACCCAUUUCACUUAGUUGAUGUAAGACCUUGACCUUUAUUAGGAGCAUUAGGAGCUAUAAUUUCUAUAAUUGGAAUUAUUAAAUGAUUCCAUAUAUUUAAUAAUAAAUUAUUUUUAUUAGGCAUAAUAAUUACGCUAAUAAUUAUAUACCAAUGAUGACGAGAUAUCUCUCGAGAAGGAACAUUUCAAGGACUUCAUACAUAUCAAGUAACUAUAGGGUUACGAUGAGGAAUAAUUUUAUUUAUUACAUCAGAAGUAUUUUUUUUUAUCUCAUUUUUUUGAGGAUUUUUUCAUAGAAGAUUAUCACCUACUAUUGAAUUAGGAAUACUAUGACCCCCUAAAGGAAUUGAAACAUUUAAUCCUAUACAAAUCCCUCUUUUAAAUACAUUAAUUUUAUUAACAUCAGGACUAACAGUUACUUGGGCUCAUCAUAGAUUAAUAGAAAAUAAUUUCAAACAAACAACUCAAGGAUUAUUAUUAACAGUAAUUCUAGGAAUUUACUUUACAAUUCUUCAAGGCUAUGAAUAUAUUGAAUCACCAUUUUCAAUUGCCGAUGCAAUUUAUGGAUCUUCCUUCUUUAUAGCUACUGGCUUUCAUGGGCUACAUGUAAUUAUUGGAACAACUUUCUUAUUAGUAUGUUUAAUUCGACAUGUUAAUAAUCACUUUUCCUCAAUCCAUCAUUUUGGAUUUGAAGCUGCCGCAUGAUAUUGACAUUUUGUAGAUGUGGUUUGAUUAUUCUUAUAUAUUUCUAUUUAUUGAUGAGGUAGAUAUUUAUAUAGUAUAAAAAUUAUUUUUGAUUUCCAAUUAAAAGAUCUAAUAAAAUUUAGUAUAAAUAAUUUUUUCUAUUUUAAAAAUUAGAACUUGUAUUAUUUUAAUUAGUAUUAUUGUUAUACUAAUUGCUAGAAUUAUUUCAAAGAAAACAUUUAUAGAUCGAGAAAAAAGAAGACCAUUUGAAUGUGGAUUUGACCCAAAAAGUUACGCUCGAAUACCUUUUUCACUUCAAUUCUUUUUAAUUGCAAUAAUUUUUCUUAUUUUUGAUGUAGAAAUUACUCUAUUAAUUCCAUUUAUUAUAAUUAUAAAAAUUUCUAAUCUAUGAAUUUAUUUUUUAACUAUAUCUUUUUUUUUAAUAAUUCUUUUAUUAGGAUUAUACCAUGAAUGAACUCAAGGAGCUUUAAACUGAUCAAUUUAGGAUUAUAGUUAAAUUAUAACAUUUAAUUUGCAUUUAAAAAUUAUUGAAAAUUCAAUUUAUCUUAAAAUAAGAAACAAAUGAUUGUAUUUAGUUUCGACCUAAAAUUUUGGUGUAAACCCACCCUUAUUUUUAAUUGAAACCAAAAUUGAGGUAAAUCACUGUUAAUGAUUAAAUUGAGCUUAAACUCCAAUUAAAGAAAUAGGUUAUUCAAAAGUAAGCUUCUAACUUAACUUUUUAACGAUGAAAUUUCGUUAAUAUUUCUAUUUAUAUAGUUUAUUAAAACAUUACAUUUUCAUUGUAAAAUUAAGAUUUUAUUCUUUAUAAAUAUUUAAAAAUAAUAAUUAUUUCCUUAAUAUCUUCAAUAUUAUGCUCUUUAUAAGCUAUUUAAAUAUAAUCCACUAAUAGUAUAAACAAAUAAUUAAUAUAAAAUAAAUUACUAUUAAUAAAAAGAAAAUUUUUAAAUUAUUAAAAAAUAAAAAUUGAGAAAAUUUUGAAUAUUUAACUAAAUUUAAAUAAAUAUUUUGACUUCCUAUAUAUUCAGAUCAACCUUGAUCAAUUUUAAUAUAUAAAAUUUUUCCUAAAUUUGUAAAAAAAUAGUUUAUUCCAAAUGUUGAUAAAAUAGGUAUAUUUCAUAUUAUUGAUAAAAAAUAUCUUAAAUUUAUAUAUUUUAAUGCCUUUAAAUUAUAAUUUAAAGAAAAAAAAGAAAAUUCUAAUCCUAAAAUAACUCCACAAAUUGUAACUAAUAAAGCUAUUAMCUUUAUUAAUAAAGGUAAACAAAUAAAAUAAGGAGUUGCAAACAUUAUUCAUAUUAAACCACUUCCCCCAAAAAUAACUAAAAAAAUUAAUCCUAAUAUUCUAUUUAAUAUAAUUUUUCCAUGGUCUCUUAAACAAUUUAACGACAAAAAAUUAAAAUCCCCAAUUAUAGAAUAAUAUACUAAACGAAAUCUAUAACUAACUGUUAAACCUGUUGAAAUAAAAUAAAUUAAAUAAAUAAAUAUAUUUAAAUAAUUUAUUGAUAAAAUUUCUAAAAUUAAAUCUUUUGAAUAAAAUCCUGCUAAAAAAGGAAUACCACAUAAAGAUAAAUUUGCAAUAUUAAAAAUACAACAAGUUAAAGGUAUAAAUUUAAUUAAACCUCCUAUAAAUCGAAUAUCUUGACAAUUAUUUAAUCUAUGAAUUAUACAUCCUGCACAUAUAAAUAAUGUUGCCUUAAAUAAAGCAUGCCUUAAUAAAUGAAAAAAUCUUAAUUUAUAUUCACCUAAUGCUAAAAUUCUUAUUAUUAAUCCUAAUUGACUUAAUGUCGAUAAAGCAAUAAUUUUUUUCAAAUCAAACUCAAAAUUAGCACCUAAUCCAGCUAUAAAUAUAGUUAUUGUUCCAAUAAAUAAUAAAAAUAUUAUUAAAUUAAUAUCUAAUGAAUUACUAAAUCGAAUUAAUAAAUAAACCCCAGCAGUUACUAAAGUAGAAGAAUGAACUAAUGAAGAUACUGGAGUUGGAGCUGCUAUAGCAGCAGGUAAUCAUGAAGAAAAAGGAAUCUGAGCUCUUUUAGUUAAAGCUGCAAUUAUUACUAACAAAGUAAUAAUUUUUAUAGAAGAAUCAUUUUUUAUAAAAUCUAAAUAAAAAAUAUAAUUUCAUCUUCCAUAAUUUAAUAUUCAAGCAAUCCUUAAUAAUAAAGCUACAUCACCAAUUCGAUUAGAUAAAGCAGUUAAUAUUCCAGCAUUAUAAGAUUUAAUAUUUUGAUAAUAAAUAACUAAACAAUAAGAAACUAACCCUAAACCAUCCCAACCUAGUAAAAUUCUCACUAAAUUUGGACUAAUAAUAAGCAAUAUUAUUGAUAAAACAAAUAUAACAACUAACAAAAUAAAUCGAUGAAUUUGUUCAUCACCAUACAUAUAUUCAGAUCUAUAAUAAAUUACUAUUCUAGAAAUAUAUAAAACAAACCUUAUAAAUAAUAAAGAUAUUCAAUCAAUUAAAAUUACUAUUUCUAAAGAACUCGAAUUAAUAGUUAAUAAAUGAAAAUCAAUAAUUAUUCUAUAAUCUAAAACUAUCAAAUAUAACCUUAUUAAAAACAAAAUUAAACUAAUAGUAAAAAAAAAUAAAAAAUAAACUAAACAAAUUGAAAUUAUCUAAAGUAAAAAAAAUUACAUCAUUGAUCCCACAAAUCAAUAUUUUAUAUUAAACUAUUUAAAUUAAAUUCAAGAAAAAAACAAUUCUCUCUUUAAAACUAAUAAAUUUAAAGGUAGCCAAUGCAUUAUUAAAAGUAAAUACUCACGAAAAUUACUAUUAAAAAAUCUAAAUAAUCCAGAAUAUAAUAUUCCAUGUUGUGUAAAAGAAAAUAAAUAUAAAGAAUAAACAGCUCUAAAAAAUGAUAUAAAUAUAAUAAAAAAUAUAGAUAAAAAAUUUCAUCUUACUAAUCUAUUAAUUAAUAUAAUUUCUCCUAUUAAAUUAAAAGACGGAGGAGCAGCUAUAUUUGAUGAUAAUAAUAAAAACCAUCAUAAAGAUAAACUUGGUAUAAUAUUAAUUAUUCCUUUAUUUAAAUAUAUUCUUCGUCUAUGAAGCCGCUCAUAACUAAUAUUUGCUAAACAAAAUAAACCAGAUGAACAUAAACCAUGAGCUACCAUUAUUCUAAGGCUUCCGUAAAAUCCCCAUCUAUUUAAUGUUAUUACUCCAGCUAAUACUAAUCCUAUAUGAGCUACUGAUGAAUAAGCAACUAAAGACUUAAUAUCUCUUUGUCGUAAACAAAUUAAAGAUACAAAAAUCCCACCUACCAAGGAAAUUGUAAUAAUUAUAUAAUUUAAAUCAUUAAUUAUAAAAUUAAAAAUUAUUAAUAAACGUAAUAUUCCGUAUCCCCCUAAUUUUAAUAUAACUCCUGCUAAAAUUAUUGAUCCCGAAACAGGGGCUUCUACAUGAGCCUUAGGCAACCAUAAAUGAACAAAAUAUAUAGGUAUCUUUACUAAAAAUACUAAUAAUAUAAAAAUUAUUAUAUAAAAAUUAUAAUUUAAAGUUAAAGAAAAAAACCUUAAUGAAUUAUUAAAAUCAUAAUAAUUAAAUAUAAAAAUUAUUAUUGGUAAAGAAGCAAAUAUAGUAUAAAAUAAUAAAUAAGUACCAGCUUGAAUUCGUUCAGGUUGAUACCCUCAACCAAUAAUUAAAAUUAAUGUGGGAAUUAACCUUAUUUCAAAAAAUAAAUAAAAUAAAAAUAAAUUAGAAACAGCAAAUGUUAUAAAUAAGGAUAUUAAUAACAUUAAUAUUAUAAAUAAAAAUAAAUUUUCAUAAUUUUUAUUAUUACUAAUUUUAGCUCUUGCUAUUAAUAUUAAAGAACAGAUUCAAAUUCUUAAUAAAAUUAUUAAAUACCUUAACAAAUCACAUAUUAUAAAAUAAGAAAUUCUAUCAACCAAAAAAUCAAAUUUUAUAUUAAUUAUAAAAAUUAUAAAAAAUAAAAAAUAAAUAAAUUGAUUUAAUCAAAAUUUAUUUUUAAAAAAAGAUAAAGGAAUCAUAAAAAUUAUUAUAAAUAAAAAUUUUAUCAUAAUAAAUUAAAUGAUUGAAAAUAAUCAUUUCCGAAUCUACGAAUCAUUGCUACUAAGAUUGAUAAUCCUAAAACACCUUCACAAACUCUUAUUGUUAAAAAAAUUAUACAAAAAUAAUAUUCAUUAUUAAAAUUUCUUAAAUUAAUAAAUAAAUUAAAAUAUAAAGAUAAAAUAAUAAAUUCUAAUCUUAAUAAUAUUAACAAUAAAUGUUUUCGUUUUAAUACAAAAACAAUUAAUCCAGAAAAAUAUAUAAUUAUAGAAAAAAAUAUUAACAUUAGUUUUAAUAAUUUAAUAAAAAUAUUGGUCUUGUAAAUCAAAAAUAAGAAAAUUACUCUUUUAAAACAUCAGAAAAAAAAUAUUCUUUUAUCAUUAAUCUCCAAAAUUAAUAUUUUAUUUAAACUAUUUUCUGAUAUUCUUAUAACACUCAGAAUACUAAUUUCAAUUAUAUUCCUUUUUAUAAAUCAUCCCAUAACUAUAGGAUUAACUUUAUUAAUUCAAACUAUUAUUAUAUCUAUAAUUUCAGGAUUACUAAACUACAAUUAUUGAUUUUCUUACAUUUUAUUUUUAAUUAUAGUAGGAGGAAUAUUAGUUUUAUUUAUUUACAUAACAAGAAUUGCUUCUAAUGAAAUAUUUACUUAUUCAAAUAAAAUACUAUGAAUAAGAAUAAUAAUUAUAAUUAUAUUAAUUUUUAUUAAUCUAAUUAUUGAUAAAUACAUAAUAAACUAUAAUUUUAUUUUUUUAGAAAAUUUUUUUAUUAAAAUAAAUUAUAUAUAUUUAUCUAAAUACUUUAGAUACCCUUCAAUUAUUAUUAUUGUAUUAAUAAUUAUUUAUUUAUUCAUUACCUUAAUUGCAAUUGUAAAAAUUACAAAAAUUGAAUAUGGACCAUUACGACAAAAAUUUUAAUGAAAACACCUUUACGACUUCAAUCUCCAAUCUUUAAAAUUAUUAAUAAUUCAUUAAUUGAUCUUCCUUCACCUUCAAAUAUUUCAGCAUGAUGAAACUUUGGAUCCCUAUUAGGAUUAUGUCUAAGAAUUCAAAUUAUUACAGGAAUUUUCUUAGCAAUACAUUAUACAGCUAACAUUGAAAUAGCAUUUAAUAGAGUUACUCAUAUCUGCCGAGAUGUCAACAAUGGUUGACUAAUACGAACCCUUCAUGCAAAUGGAGCUUCAUUUUUUUUUAUUUGUUUAUAUUCUCAUAUUGGACGAGGAAUAUAUUACUCUUCCUAUUAUUUUAUAUUAACUUGAAUAAUUGGAGUAUUAAUUUUAUUUAUAGUUAUAGCAACAGCUUUUUUAGGAUAUGUUCUUCCUUGAGGACAAAUAUCCUUUUGAGGGGCUACAGUUAUUACAAAUUUACUCUCAGCUAUUCCAUAUAUUGGUAUAGAAAUUGUUCAAUGAUUAUGAGGAGGAUUCGCAGUUGAUAAUGCAACUUUAACUCGAUUUUUUACAUUACAUUUUCUUUUACCUUUUAUUGUAACAGCAUUAGUUAUAAUUCACCUAUUAUUUUUACAUCAAACAGGAUCUAAUAAUCCAUUAGGAGUAAAUAGAAAUAUUGAUAAAAUUCCUUUUCAUCCAUAUUUUUCAUUAAAAGAUUUAUUUGGAUUUAUUAUUAUAAUUAUAAUUUUAACUUUAUUAACUUUAAUUAAUCCUUACCUUUUAGGUGACCCAGACAAUUUUACUCCAGCUAAUCCUUUAGUUACCCCUAUUCAUAUUCAACCUGAAUGAUAUUUUUUAUUUGCUUAUGCAAUUUUACGUUCAAUUCCAAACAAAUUAGGGGGAGUAAUUGCUUUAGUAAUAUCAAUUGCUAUUCUUUUUAUUUUACCCUUUACAAAUAAAAAAAAAAUUCAAAGAACAUCAUUCUAUCCAUUAAAUAAAAUUUUAUUUUGAUCUUUAGUUUCAAUUUUAUUUUUAUUAACAUGAAUUGGUGCUCGUCCAGUUGAAGACCCUUACAUCAUUACUGGUCAAAUCUUAACCUGUGUAUAUUUUCUUUACUAUUUAAUUAAUCCUAUGAUUCAUAAAUUAUGAGAUAAAAUAAUUUUUAAUUAGUUAAUGAACUUGAAUAAGUAUAUACUUUGAAAGUAUACUAUAGAAAUUAAAAUUUUCUAUUAACUUACUACUAAAUUUUAUUAACUAUAACAAUAAAACGUAUACAAUAAAUUUUAAUCCUAAAAAUAUAAAUAAAAAAUUUAAUGCUACUCUAAGAAACCUUUUCCAAGCUAAAAAUAUUAAUUUAUCAUAACGAUAACGAGGUAAUGUUCCCCGAACCCAAAUUCAAAAAAAAGAAAUUAAUCUUAACUUUAUAAAAAAAAAUCAAUUUAUAUAAUCUCCACCUAAAAAUAAUAUAACACACAUUAUUCUUAUAAAUAAAAUUCUUGAAUAUUCAGCUAAAAAAAUUAAUGCGAAUCCUCCUCUUCUAUAUUCAACAUUAAAUCCUGAAACUAAUUCCGACUCGCCUUCAGCAAAAUCAAAAGGAGUUCGAUUAGUUUCAGCCAAACUCGAUACAAUUCAUAUUAAUCUUAAUGGAAAAAAUAUAAUAAUAAAUCAUAAAUUUUUUUGAUAUUUAACUAAAUCAAUUAUAUUCAACCUUAAAAUUAUUAUUAAAAAAGAUAUUAAAAUUAAAGCUAAUCUUACUUCAUAAGAAAUUGUUUGAGCAACAGAACGAAUACCUCCUAAUAAAGCAUAAUUAGAAUUUGAAGAUCAUCCAGAAAUUAUUACAGUAUAAACCCCUAAUCUUGAAACACAUAAAAAAUAUAAAAUUCCAAAAUUAAAUGAAUAUAAACUACUAAAAAAAGGCAUACAAAUUCAUAAUAUUAAAGAUAAAAAUAAAUUUAAAAUAGGAGAAAAAUAAUAAAAAUUAAAAUUUGAUAUUAUUGGAUAAACACUUUCUUUAGAAAAUAAUUUAAUGGCAUCUCUAAAUGGUUGUAAUAUACCAAUCAUUCCUACUUUAUUAGGUCCUUUCCGAAUCUGAAUAUAUCCCAAAACUUUUCGCUCUAAUAAUGUCAAAAAAGCUACACCUACUAAAACACAAACAAUUAUAAUUAAACUUCUAAUAAAUAUUAUUAAUAUAUCUAAAAAAUACAAGUAUUAUUUAUAGUAUUACUAUAUUCUUAAAUUCUAAAUUUAAUGCACUAAUCUGCCAAA
rnacentral:rRNA from 1 species